rnacentral:lncRNA from 1 species
AAGUACGUGCGGCACCAUUCAGGCGCACCUGGAGCCACGUUUUGUAUUGGCUGAAGCAUCCAGGGAGGUCGCCACAAAUGUGCAAGCAAAACUAAGUUUGGUGUUGGCGACCGCGCGGUAAAUGGAACUGACGGGUGCUUGCCGGUACAGAACAAGCGGAGGAGUUUCUCAUCGUUCAAAUGACUGCCCUGAACGCGCUUCUCAGCAAAUCUAAGUGCCACCAGUGCUCCCAACUAGGACUUUCAGUUCAGCUGGGAACAAGACAUGGAUUAGCAGCGCAAAUGAUACUGAUGUGCACGUUUUGCGGCGUUGUCGCGAAGGGGUGGUCAUCGCCGCAAAAGGAAGGUAGCAAAAUUUUUGAUGUGAAUAUGAGAGCUGUACAGGCUGUUAAAUGUAUUGGCAAAGGGGCAACAGCUUUGACCAAUUUCUGGUCAAUAAUGAAUGUCUCCCAUAGAGGGUUGCGUCAUAAAACAUUUCAGAAACAACUCAAGGCUGGAUACAACUUUGAAAGCCUUUUUCUCAAAAUGACUUUUCUUGCUUCCUGCUUUGCUUGUACCACUGAUUCUUCGUGAAAACUAGGUCUAUUUCGAUUCCGUUUUUUUACCUGUAUGCCUAGAUGUACUGUCCAGGGCAUGACACUCUUGCUUUUGCAGUUUGACUUUACUACAAUUAACGAUUCGACUACCUGCUCACAGCCUAAACGCCUGCGGUACAGUCACCUC